CUAAUUUGAAACUAAUUUUGGAUUGUUUAAAAGAGGAUACUAUUGACUAUUAUAAAUAGAAACUGUUUCCCCCUAGUGGAAGCCUUUGAAACCGGUUGCUUUACAAGAGCUGGGCUAGGGGAAUUUCCAGCUGCAAGUUAAAAACCGUGAGACUCUGGGACUGACCUUGAAUCUUUUAAGUGUUAUGAUAAAUGGAAGAGGAAAAACAGACCAGUCAACUGCUGACAAAACAUUAAGGUCUGGGAGGACUUGGCAACAAUCCAGGAGAGGUCCAUCAUUAGGCCCCCCUGCUCCUUCUGUUGCUGCCUUUGUACCAGUAUAUUUAAAACCAAGAGGAAUGUUGACAGAAGAGGCUUUAGUGGCUGCAUUAUAUAAGAUAAAUGACUCAUUGGAUCAGCUUAACAGGAAAAUGGACACGAUAAAUGCGAAAGUGGAUGUUUCAAUCACUAAAAUUAACUUAAAUAUAGAAAGUAUAAAUAAUAUCAAUAUAGAAACCACCCAGAAAUUGACACAGGAACCUACUUUGAUACGGCAAACUGCGGAGGAGGCCAGGGAAAAAGCUGUUGUUGCUGAAUGUAAAGAAACACAACUGGAGAGAAAGAGAAAGAGAGCCCCAGCCCUACAGAGGCAACUUGAUGAACAUAAGUUGACGCUUGCUAUGACUGAACUU